rnacentral:rRNA from 1 species
GGGAUAAUCCAUGGAAACGUGGACUAAUACCGCAUAUUGAAUAUUUACCGCAUGGCAGAUAUUUGAAAGAUUUAUCGCUUAUGGAUGGACUCGCGUCAGAUUAGCUAGUUGGUGAGGUAAAGGCUCACCAAGGCGACGAUCUGUAGCCGAACUGAGAGGUUGAUCGGCCGCAUUGGGACUGAGACACGGCCCAGACUCCUACGGGAGGCAGCAGUGGGGAAUAUUGCGCAAUGGGGGGAACCCUGACGCAGCAACGCCGCGUGCAGGAAGAAGGUCUUCGGAUUGUAAACUGUUGUCGCAAGGGAAGAAGACAGUGACGGUACCUUGUGAGAAAGUCACGGCUAACUACGUGCCAGCAGCCGCGGUAAUACGUAGGUGACAAGCGUUGUCCGGAUUUACUGGGUGUAAAGGGCGCGUAGGCGGACUGUCAAGUCAGUCGUGAAAUACCGGGGCUCAACCCCGGGGCUGCGAUUGAAACUGACAGCCUUGAGUAUCGGAGAGGAAAGCGGAAUUCCUAGUGUAGCGGUGAAAUGCGUAGAUAUUAGGAGGAACACCAGUGGCGAAGGCGGCUUUCUGGACGACAACUGACGCUGAGGCGCGAAAGUGUGGGGAGCAAACAGGAUUAGAUACCCUGGUAGUCCACACCGUAAACGAUGCAUAAUAGGUGUAGG